UAGGUUUCAGGCAGUCUCCUUGG
rnacentral:siRNA from 1 species